UACGUAGGGUCCGAGCGUUGUCCGGAAUUAUUGGGCGUAAAGGGCUCGUAGGCGGUUUGUCGCGUCGGAAGUGAAAACUUACAGCUUAACUGUGGGCGUGCUUUCGAUACGGGCAGACUUGAGGUAUGCAGGGGAGAACGGAAUUCCUGGUGUAGCGGUGAAAUGCGCAGAUAUCAGGAGGAACACCGGUGGCGAAGGCGGUUCUCUGGGCAU
rnacentral:rRNA from 1 species